rnacentral:rRNA from 1 species
UACGAAGGGGGCUAGCGUUGCUCGGAAUCACUGGGCGUAAAGGGUGCGUAGGCGGGUCUUUAAGUCAGGGGUGAAAUCCUGGAGCUCAACUCCAGAACUGCCUUUGAUACUGGCGAUCUCGAGUCCGGGAGAGGUGAGUGGAACUGCGAGUGUAGAGGUGAAAUUCGUAGAUAUUCGCAAGAACACCAGUGGCGAAGGCGGCUCACUGGCCCGAUACUGACGCUGAGGCACGAAAGCGUGGGGAGCAAACAGG